UCGGGUGUGGUGUAUGGAGCACGACGAGGCUUCUUAGUGCUUCUAGUUUACCCAAUUGAAGCUCGCAGGACGGGGUUCAACUCCCCGCGCCCGAA